GGGCCCGUAGCUCAGCAUGGAAGAGCGGCGGCCUUCGGAGGCGUACCGCUGAAGCGAGCCGUAGGUCGUGGGUUCGAAUCCCACCGGGCCCG
rnacentral:tRNA from 1 species